UGGGGAAUUUUGCACAAUGGAGGAAACUCUGAUGCAGCGACGCCGCGUGAGUGAUGAAGAUCUUCGGAUUGUAAAACUCUGUCCUUAGUGAAGAUAAUGACAGUAACUAAGAAGCAAGCCCUGGCUAAAUACGUGCCAGCAGCCGCGGUAAUACGUAUGGGGCAAGCGUUGUCCGGAAUUAUUGGGCGUAAAGGGUACGUAGGCGGUUUAAUAAGUCCUAAUUAAAAGGCUAUGGCUCAACCAUAGUAUGGUUAGGAAACUGUUGAACUUGAGUAGAUGAGGGGAAAGUGGAAUUCCAUGUGUAGCGGUGAAAUGCGUAGAUAAAUGGAGGAACACCAAUGGCGAAGGCAACUUUCUGGAAUCAAACUGACGCUGAGGUACGAAGGCGUGGGGAGCAAACAGG
rnacentral:rRNA from 1 species